rnacentral:piRNA from 1 species
UCACAUGGGUCUAGUCAGUCGUUGAAAUGCA